rnacentral:rRNA from 1 species
UACGAAGGGGCUAGCGUUGCUCGGAAUCACUGGGCGUAAAGGGUGCGUAGGCGGGUCUUUAAGUCAGGGGUGAAAUCCUGGAGCUCAACUCCAGAACUGCCUUUGAUACUGAGGAUCUUGAGUAUGGGAGAGGUGAGUGGAACUGCGAGUGUAGAGGUGAAAAUUCGUAGAUAUUCGCAAAGAACACCAGUGGCGAAGGCG